rnacentral:SRP_RNA from 1 species
GCUGGGCGUGGUGGCGCGUGCCUGUAAUCCCAGCUACUUGGGAGGCUGAGGCGGGAGAAUUGCUUGAACCCAGGAGGUGGAGGUUGCAGUGAGCCGAGAUGGCGCCACUGCACUCCAGCCUGGGUGACAGAGUGAGACUCUGUCUGGG